rnacentral:rRNA from 1 species
UACGUAGGGUACGAGCGUUAAUCGGAAUUACUGGGCGUAAAGCGUGCGCAGGCGGUUUGGUAAGACAGAUGUGAAAUUCCCGGGCUUAACCUGGGAACUGCAUUUGUGACUGCCAGGCUAGAGUGCGGCAGAGGGGAGUGGAAUUCCGCGUGUAGCAGUGAAAUGCGUAGAUAUGCGGAGGAACACCGAUGGCGAAGGCAAUCCCCUGGGCCUGUACUGACGCUCAUGCACGAAAGCGUGGGGAGCAAACAGG